rnacentral:rRNA from 1 species
AGUGAACGCUGGCGGUAGGCCUAACACAUGCAAGUCGAACGGCAGCACAGCAAGAGCUUGCUCUUACGGGUGGCGAGUGGCGGACGGGUGAGGAAUACAUCGGAAUCUACUUUUUCGUGGGGGAUAACGUAGGGAAACUUACGCUAAUACCGCAUACGACCUACGGGUGAAAGCAGGGGAUCUUCGGACCUUGCGCGAUUGAAUGAGCCGAUGUCGGAUUAGCUAGUUGGCGGGGUAAGGGCCCACCAAGGCGACGAUCCGUAGCUGGUCUGAGAGGAUGAUCAGCCACACUGGAACUGAGACACGGUCCAGACUCCUACGGGAGGCAGCAGUGGGGAAUAUUGGACAAUGGGCGCAAGCCUGAUCCAGCCAUACCGCGUGGGUGAAGAAGGCCUUCGGGUUGUAAAGCCCUUUUGUUGGGAAAGAAAAGCAGCAGGUUAAUACCCCGCUGUUCUGACGGUACCCAAAGAAUAAGCACCGGCUAACUUCGUG